CCCCAGACUCCUACGGGAGGCAGCAGUGGGGAAUAUUGCACAAUGGGCGAAAGCCUGAUGCAGCAACGCCGCGUGAAGGAAGAAGGCCUUCGGGUCGUAAACUUCUUUCCUUGGGGAAGAAGAACUGACGGUACCCAAGGAGGAAGCCCCGGCUAACUACGUGCCAGCAGCCGCGGUAAUACGUAGGGGGCAAGCGUUAUCCGGAUUUACUGGGUGUAAAGGGAGCGUAGACGGAAUUGCAAGUCUGAUGUGAAAAUCCGGGGCCCAACCCCGGAACUGCAUUGGAAACUGUAUUUCUAGAGUGUCGGAGAGGCAAGUGGAAUUCCUGGUGUAGCGGUGAAAUGCGUAGAUAUCAGGAGGAACACCAGUGGCGAAGGCGGCUUGCUGGACGAUGACUGACGUUGAGGCUCGAAAGCGUGGGGAGCAAACAGGAUUAGAUACCCCAGUAUUC
rnacentral:rRNA from 1 species